GUGCAGGAUGAAGGCCUUCGGGUUGUAAACUGCUUUUGUACGGAACGAAAAGGUGCCUUCUAAUAAAGGGCGCUCAUGACGGUACCGUAAGAAUAAGCACCGGCUAACUACGUGCCAGCAGCCGCGGUAAUACGUARGGUGCAAGCGUUAAUCGGAAUUACUGGGCGUAAAGCGUGCGCAGGCGGUUUUGUAAGACAGAGGUGAAAUCCCCGGGCUCAACCUGGGAACUGCCUUUGUGACUGCAAGGCUGGAGUGCGGCAGAGGGGGAUGGAAUUCCGCGUGUAGCAGUGAAAUGCGUAKAUAUGCGGAGGAACACCGAUGGCGAAGGCAAUCCCCUGGGCCUGCACUGACGCUCAUGCACGAAAGCGUGGGGAGCAAACAGGAUUAGAUACCCUGGUAGUCCACGCCCUAAACGAUGUCAACUGGUUGUUGGGUAUUAAUUUACUCAGUAACGAAGCUAACGCGUGAAGUUGACCGCCUGGGGAGUACGGCCGCAAGGUUGAAACUC
rnacentral:rRNA from 1 species